GAAGGCGGAAGGCAGAGUGUGUUAGGGCGGAUUCAGGCAGUGUCUGCUGUAACCACUCAAGGGACACAGCUGAAAGGGGCUGUGAGUCAGCAGCGGGGGUGAUGUCACAAGGCGUCCUCGGGGCUCCCUGGAGAAUGGCGCAGUGAGCACAGAGCCAGGGAGGCUGUCCUGCUCUCGGAGGGAGGGGAUCCCGGGACAGGAGGGUCCGAAGCAGACGAGGCCCCGAGGUGUCAGGGGCUUGGCCUUGCCCGGCCUCCGGGCUGUCACCCCCAGGUAGGUUCCAGGGAGGGGAAAGGAGGGGACAGUUCCAGCUAGGUUCUGGGCCCUGGCCGGUUCCGGGGUGCUGGGGCUGCAGGGCAGGGCGCCGCGUGCCUGGGCUGGCCCUGCGCUCUGUCCGCAGGACCGGACUGUCGUGCUGUGCGCGGCCCCGUCCACACCCAGCCCGAUGGCGGGCUCAGAAUCGGUGCUCCAUAACACGGAAGAGGAGGGCGUGCUGAUGAGCACGGACGGACGUUCCGAGGACCACAGACAAGAAUCGGGAGGAGAGGGGCGCCUGGGUGGCGCAGUCGGUUAAGCGUCCGACUUCAGCCAGGUCACGAUCUCGCGGUCCGGGAGUUCGAGCCCCGCGUCGGGCUCUGGGCUGAUGGCUCAGAGCCUGGAGCCUGUUUCCGAUUCUGUGUCUCCCUCUCUCUCUGCCCCUCCCCCGUUCAUGCUCUGUCUCUCUC